rnacentral:rRNA from 1 species
UACGAGGGGGGCGAGCGUUGUUCGGAAUUAUUGGGCGUAAAGGGUGCGUAGGCGGUUUGGUAAGUCUUAUGUGAAAUCUACAGGCUCAACUUGUAGUCUGCAUGAGAAACUGCCGGGCUUGAGUAUGGGAGAGGUGAGUGGAAUUCCUGGUGUAGCGGUGAAAUGCGUAGAGAUCUGGAGGAAUACCGGUGGCGAAGGCGGCCCCCUGGACAAAGACUGACGCUCAGGUGCGAAAGCGUGGGGAGCAAACAGG